AAGUCGUAACAAGGUCUCCGUUGGUGAACCAGCGGAGGGAUCAUUAAAGAGUUUAAUAAAACUCCUAAACCCCUGUGAACUUAUAUUGGUUUGACGCAGCAGAUAGCGUCUACCUCGCGGGCUCCUACCUUGGUAGGAGCUUGCAAGGUGGGCGCACGUCUGUUUUUCCAUAUUCGUAAGGCUCUCUCUUUUAUUAGAGAGCGGUCUGCGCAGUGGACGCAGUUAGUUACUUACGUUGCGAUAUCGCAAGCGUUAUUGUACAAAUACUGUGGAGGUCACAUAAACCUGUUUACUGUUAUAAUCUGAAAUAUAUAAAACAAGUUAAAACUUUCAACAACGGAUCUCUUGGUUCUG
rnacentral:misc_RNA from 1 species